GUUGCUUUGGCAGAUGAAUAUGUAUUAGAUUUAGGAUUUAAGUAAAUAGAGUUAAUUCUAUAAGCAAUA
rnacentral:tRNA from 1 species